AUACCUUUUUCGGCCUUUUGGCUAAGAUCAAGUGUAGUAUCUGUUCUUAUCAGUUGAAUAUCUGAUAUGUGGAUCAUUGAUCCACACGAUAUUAACUCAAUUUUUUAAGGGGAAGAGUCCAUUAAGGUAGCUUGCUACCUGGGCUCUUGCGCAUCUCCCAUGCGUUGCACUACUGCACGGGCCUGGCGCACCCCAC
rnacentral:snRNA from 1 species